rnacentral:rRNA from 1 species
UCGAUGAGUAGGGCGGGACACGUGGUAUCCUGUCUGAAUAUGGGGGGACCAUCCUCCAAGGCUAAAUACUCCUGACUGACCGAUAGUGAACCAGUACCGUGAGGGAAAGGCGAAAAGAACCCCGGCGAGGGGAGUGAAAAAGAACCUGAAACCGUGUACGUACAAGCAGUGGGAGCCUCUUUUAUGGGGUGACUGCGUACCUUUUGUAUAAUGGGUCAGCGACUUAUAUUCUGUAGCAAGGUUAACCGAAUAGGGGAGCCGAAGGGAAACCGAGUCUUAACUGGGCGUUAAGUUGCAGGGUAUAGACCCGAAACCCGGUGAUCUAGCCAUGGGCAGGUUGAAGGUUGGGUAACACUAACUGGAGGACCGAACCGACUAAUGUUGAAAAAUUAGCGGAUGACUUGUGGCUGGGGGUGAAAGGCCAAUCAAACCGGGAGAUAGCUGGUUCUCCCCGAAAGCUAUUUAGGUAGCGCCUCGUGAAUUCAUCUCCGGGGGUAGAGCACUGUUUCGGCAAGGGGGUCAUCCCGACUUACCAACCCGAUGCAAACUGCGAAUACCGGAGAAUGUUAUCACGGGAGACACACGGCGGGUGCUAACGUCCGUCGUGAAGAGGGAAACAACCCAGACCGCCAGCUAAGGUCCCAAAGUCAUGGUUAAGUGGGAAACGAUGUGGGAAGGCCCAGACAGCCAGGAUGUUGGCUUAGAAGCAGCCAUCAUUUAAAGAAAGCGUAAUAGCUCACUGGUCGAGUCGGCCUGCGCGGAAGAUGUAACGGGGCUAAACCAUGCACCGAAGCUGCGGCAGCGACGCUUAUGCGUUGUUGGGUAGGGGAGCGUUCUGUAAGCCUGUGAAGGUGUACUGUGAGGUAUGCUGGAGGUAUCAGAAGUGCGAAUGCUGACAUAAGUAACGAUAAAGCGGGUGAAAAGCCCGCUCGCCGGAAGACCAAGGGUUCCUGUCCAACGUUAAUCGGGGCAGGGUGAGUCGACCCCUAAGGCGAGGCCGAAAGGCGUAGUCGAUGGGAAACAGGUUAAUAUUCCUGUACUUGGUGUUACUGCGAAGGGGGGACGGAGAAGGCUAUGUUGGCCGGGCGACGGUUGUCCCGGUUUAAGCGUGUAGGCUGGUUUUCCAGGCAAAUCCGGAAAAUCAAGGCUGAGGCGUGAUGACGAGGCACUACGGUGCUGAAGCAACAAAUGCCCUGCUUCCAGGAAAAGCCUCUAAGCAUCAGGUAACAUCAAAUCGUACCCCAAACCGACACAGGUGGUCAGGUAGAGAAUACCAAGGCGCUUGAGAGAACUCGGGUGAAGGAACUAGGCAAAAUGGUGCCGUAACUUCGGGAGAAGGCACGCUGAUAUGUAGGUGAAGCGACUUGCUCGUGGAGCUGAAAUCAGUCGAAGAUACCAGCUGGCUGCAACUGUUUAUUAAAAACACAGCACUGUGCAAACACGAAAGUGGACGUAUACGGUGUGACGCCUGCCCGGUGCCGGAAGGUUAAUUGAUGGGGUUAGCGGUAACGCGAAGCUCUUGAUCGAAGCCCCGGUAAACGGCGGCCGUAACUAUAACGGUCCUAAGGUAGCGAAAUUCCUUGUCGGGUAAGUUCCGACCUGCACGAAUGGCGUAAUGAUGGCCAGGCUGUCUCCACCCGAGACUCAGUGAAAUUGAACUCGCUGUGAAGAUGCAGUGUACCCGCGGCAAGACGGAAAGACCCCGUGAACCUUUACUAUAGCUUGACACUGAACAUUGAGCCUUGAUGUGUAGGAUAGGUGGGAGGCUUUGAAGUGUGGACGCCAGUCUGCAUGGAGCCGACCUUGAAAUACCACCCUUUAAUGUUUGAUGUUCUAACGUUGGCCCGUAAUCCGGGUUGCGGACAGUGUCUGGUGGGUAGUUUGACUGGGGCGGUCUCCUCCUAAAGAGUAACGGAGGAGCACGAAGGUUGGCUAAUCCUGGUCGGACAUCAGGAGGUUAGUGCAAUGGCAUAAGCCAGCUUGACUGCGAGCGUGACGGCGCGAGCAGGUGCGAAAGCAGGUCAUAGUGAUCCGGUGGUUCUGAAUGGAAGGGCCAUCGCUCAACGGAUAAAAGGUACUCCGGGGAUAACAGGCUGAUACCGCCCAAGAGUUCAUAUCGACGGCGGUGUUUGGCACCUCGAUGUCGGCUCAUCACAUCCUGGGGCUGAAGUAGGUCCCAAGGGUAUGGCUGUUCGCCAUUUAAAGUGGUACGCGAGCUGGGUUUAGAACGUCGUGAGACAGUUCGGUCCCUAUCUGCCGUGGGCGCUGGAGAACUGAGGGGGGCUGCUCCUAGUACGAGAGGACCGGAGUGGACGCAUCACUGGUGUUCGGGUUGUCAUGCCAAUGGCACUGCCCGGUAGCUAAAUGCGGAAGAGAUAAGUGCUGAAAGCAUCUAAGCACGAAACUUGCCCCGAGAUGAGUUCUCCCUGAGACUUUAAGUCUCCUGAAGGAACGUUGAAGACGACGACGUUGAUAGGCCGGGUGUGUAAGCGCAGCGAUGCGUUGAGCUAACCGGUACUAAUGAACCGUGAGG